UUUGGUUCUAUAAAUCAUGUAAAAAAAUAAAUAAAAAAAAUACAACUAUUACAUAUAUCGUCAAAUGGUUCGUUUUUCGUUAUAUGACGUAAAUAGUGGAGGCGUUUACAUCCGGUUAGAGUACGCAUGCUAAGAUUUUUCUUCCGGUACGUACUCGGUGUACAUGCUGCUGUAGUUCAUGUUUGAGGUGGAAGAAUCUGUUUCAGCGUGGUGGAGUCUUACACCAUAUGUUUUUCAUAAAGUAUUAGCAGUGUGUUCCUCCUGAUUCAAAUGGAUGCGUGAUUACAUUUGCUGAAUGAAUCGGGAAAGCCUCCGCAAUGGGAUAAUAACGUUUUUCCCUAGCCCAUGGUAUUUCAAAAUGUACAAACGCCAUAUAUUUGGCUUUUGCAUACCAGAUCUGUUGUUCAAUAAAAUUUACAAUUAAAACUGUA